AUGACAAAGUGUUUGUGAGAGGGCUUGAAAAUGGCGAAAGUGUUGUAUGGCAUAACGGAUAAGAGGUACCAAUCUUGUUGUGAUACAGGUCAUCAACUUUCUAGCUGACCCUUUGAGCCUCGGCUCUGCAAGAGGGCGCAGACUUAUUUUCUGUCACCACCGCGCCUGGAGUGUAAGCCCCACGAGAUGAGGAAAUUGAGGCCCAGAGAGGUGGAGUCACUUGCCCGAAGCCACACAGCCGUGACAGGGACGGCCCAGUUUGUACAGGCUCCGUGACACCCAUGUGCCUGCAUCAACUCUCUCUCUGCCAGUACUAGGACAGUCACUCCCAUUUUACAGGUAAGGACACUGAGGUUGGGCGUACAAACCAUAGGGCUAGCAAGUCGUGGAUUUGGGGUCUCUGUCAAGGCCCUUAGACCACGAGGCGAGUGCAUUUUCCUCUGCACCUUUUUGCACAAGAGACAGAAGCAAAAGAAAUGAGGAGGACACUGGAAGAG